rnacentral:rRNA from 1 species
UACGUAGGUGGCAAGCGUUGUCCGGAUUUACUGGGCGUAAAGGGUGCGUAGGCGGAUAUUUAAGUCAGAUGUGAAAUCCCCGAGCUCAACUUGGGUGCUGCAUUUGAAACUGGAUAUCUAGAGUGCAGGAGAGGAAAGUGGAAUUCCUAGUGUAGCGGUGAAAUGCGUAGAGAUUAGGAAGAACACCAGUGGCGAAGGCGACUUUCUGGACUGUAACUGACGCUGAGGCACGAAAGCGUGGGGAGCAAACAGG